UGGUGGAGUGAUUUGUCUGGUUAAUUCCGUUAACGAACGAGACCUUAACCUGCUAAAUAGUGACACGAAACUCGUAUUGCUUCUUGCAAUUGGCUGUUUUUGUUUAAGUGGUCUUUUUGAUCUCUUAAGCGAUGCAGCUGUUUGUGUAUCACUUCUUAGAGGGACCGUCGCGUGUAUAACGCGUGGAAGUUUGAGGCAAUAACA
rnacentral:rRNA from 1 species